rnacentral:rRNA from 1 species
UACGAAGGGGCUAGCGUUGCUCGGAAUCACUGGGCGUAAAGGGCGCGUAGGCGGCGUUUUAAGUCGGGGGUGAAAGCCUGUGGCUCAACCACAGAAUGGCCUUCGAUACUGGGACGCUUGGAGUAUGGUAGAGGUUGGUGGAACUGCGAGUGUAGAGGUGAAAUUCGUAGAUAUUCGCAAGAACACCGGUGGCGAAGGCGGC